GUGGCGGACGGGUGAGUAACGCGUGAGAAUCUGGCUCUAGGUCGGGGACAACCACUGGAAACGGUGGCUAAUACCGGAUGUGCCGAGAGGUGAAAGAUUAAUUGCCUAGAGAUGAGCUCGCGUCUGAUUAGCUAGUAGGUGUGGUAAGAGCGCACCUAGGCGACGAUCAGUAGCUGGUCUGAGAGGAUGAUCAGCCACACUGGGACUGAGACACGGCCCAGACUCCUACGGGAGGCAGCAGUGGGGAAUUUUCCGCAAUGGGCGAAAGCCUGACGGAGCAAUACCGCGUGAGGGAGGAAGGCUCUUGGGUUGUAAACCUCUUUUCUCAAGGAAGAACAAAAUGACGGUACUUGAGGAAUAAGCAUCGGCUAACUCCGUGCCAGCAGCCGCGGUAAUACGGAGGAUGCAAGCGUUAUCCGGAAUGAUUGGGCGUAAAGCGUCCGCAGGUGGCUAUGUAAGUCUGCUGUUAAAGAGUGAGGCUCAACCUCAUAAGAGCAGUGGAAACUACAUGGCUAGAGUGCGUUCGGGGCAGAGGGAAUUCCUGGUGUAGCGGUGAAAUGCGUAGAGAUCAGGAAGAACACCGGUGGCGAAAGCGCUCUGCUAGGCCGCAACUGACACUGAGGGACGAAAGCUAGGGGAGCGAAUGGGAUUAGAUACCCCAGUAGUCCUAGCCGUAAACGAUGGAUACUAGGCGUGGCUUGUAUCGACCCGAGCCGUGCCGGAGCUAACGCGUUAAGUAUCCCGCCUGGGGAGUACGCACGCAAGUGUGAAACUCAAAGGAAUUGACGGGGGCCCGCACAAGCGGUGGAGUAUGUGGUUUAAUUCG
rnacentral:rRNA from 1 species